CAAUCAAACCGGGAGAUAGCUGGUUCUCCCCGAAAGCUAUUUAGGUAGCGCCUCGUGAAUUCAUCUCCGGGGGUAGAGCACUGUUUCGGCAAGGGGGUCAUCCCGACUUACCAACCCGAUGCAAACUACGAAUACCGGAGAAUGUUAUCACGGGAGACACACGGCGGGUGCUAACGUCCGUCGUGAAGAGGGAAACAACCCAGACCGCCAGCUAAGGUCCCAAAGUCAUGGUUAAGUGGGAAACGAUGUGGGAAGGCCCAGACAGCCAGGAUGUUGGCUUAGAAGCAGCCAUCAUUUAAAGAAAGCGUAAUAGCUCACUGGUCGAGUCGGCCUGCGCGGAAGAUGUAACGGGGCUAAACCAUGCACCGAAGCUGCGGCAGCGACGCUUAUGCGUUGUUGGGUAGGGGAGCGUUCUGUAAGCCUGUGAAGGUGUGCUGUGAGGCAUGCUGGAGGUAUCAGAAGUGCGAAUGCUGACAUAAGUAACGAUAAAGCGGGUGAAAAGCCCGCUCGCCGGAAGACCAAGGGUUCCUGUCCAACGUUAAUCGGGGCAGGGUGAGUCGACCCCUAAGGCGAGGCCGAAAGGCGUAGUCGAUGGGAAACAGGUUAAUAUUCCUGUACUUGGUGUUACUGCGAAGGGGGGACGGAGAAGGCUAUGUUGGCCGGGCGACGGUUGUCCCGGUUUAAGCGUGUAGGCUGGUUUUCCAGGCAAAUCCGGAAAAUCAAGGCUGAGGCGUGAUGACGAGGCACUACGGUGCUGAAGCAACAAAUGCCCUGCUUCCAGGAAAAGCCUCUAAGCAUCAGGUAACAUCAAAUCGUACCCCAAACCGACACAGGUGGUCAGGUAGAGAAUACCAAGGCGCUUGAGAGAACUCGGGUGAAGGAACUAGGCAAAAUGGUGCCGUAACUUCGGGAGAAGGCACGCUGAUAUGUAGGUGAAGUCCCUCGCGGAUGGAGCUGAAAUCAGUCGAAGAUACCAGCUGGCUGCAACUGUUUAUUAAAAACACAGCACUGUGCAAACACGAAAGUGGACGUAUACGGUGUGACGCCUGCCCGGUGCCGGAAGGUUAAUUGAUGGGGUUAGCGCAAGCGAAGCUCUUGAUCGAAGCCCCGGUAAACGGCGGCCGUAACUAUAACGGUCCUAAGGUAGCGAAAUUCCUUGUCGGGUAAGUUCCGACCUGCACGAAUGGCGUAAUGAUGGCCAGGCUGUCUCCACCCGAGACUCAGUGAAAUUGAACUCGCUGUGAAGAUGCAGUGUACCCGCGGCAAGACGGAAAGACCCCGUGAACCUUUACUAUAGCUUGACACUGAACAUUGAGCCUUGAUGUGUAGGAUAGGUGGGAGGCUUUGAAGUGUGGACGCCAGUCUGCAUGGAGCCGACCUUGAAAUACCACCCUUUAAUGUUUGAUGUUCUAACGUUGACCCGU
rnacentral:rRNA from 1 species